AUUUGGUGACAGUAACGGGUAGGAGACUCAGAUGAAGUCAUGUGGAUGUGCUUGACAUGAAUGACAAGGAACCCUCAGGUUGAAGAGGAGACUUAGAAGGAUGGUGUUGGUAAAGUUUUCUUCAACAAUGUGGAGUAGAACAUUAACAACCUUACAGGAGUUGGUGGGAGCAACUGGAAAAUGCAAUGCUGAUGGAUGAUGUGGAAAUAAGAGGCCGCAGCCAGACGAAUGAAUGAGAAAAAAACUAGAAGAAGCAAGACUGAUUAAUGUACUUCAAGAUGCAGAAUAAAGUAUUGCAUUCGAACUGGAAUUGGUGGAAACAACUGGAAAAUAUGUGGAAAUGAGCAGCUAUAGCCAGACAGGAAUUGGUGGAAAACCUAGAAAAUGCAAGACUGAUCGAUGUUGACCCUUCAAGAUGUUAAAAUGAGCAGCUACAGCUAGACAGGAAUUGGUGGAAAUACUUAGAAAAGUCAAGACUGAUGGAUGAUGACCUUCUCAACAGCAGGACUUACCACAGUGGAUAACUGUCACUGAUCAGUGUGCUUUGAUGAUUUAGUGACAGUACCCAGUAAGAGACUCAGAUAAAAUCAUGUGGAUGUGCUUGACAUUAUGAAUGACAAGGAGCCUCAGAAAGUAAAAGUAUUGAAGAGGCAUAUCCUUGUGAUCAUGUUUGGAAAAAGAAAGAUGACAAUGCAGAAAGCCAGAUCUGUGAAGCA